CUGGCACGUGACAAUAGCCCCCUCCCGAAAAAAUGCUCCGUAUUGCGCCUCCUCCGCCUGAUGAAAAUGACGUAAUCACACGAUCGUCUGGCCCACGUGCGAAUUCAUCGGUACGGCGGCUUUCAUUUUUCGAAACUUCUCCGUUAAAUUCUUCCAUUUAACCUCUUACUUUGCAAAUGAAGACAUUUUUGGAUGGCAGCCUGGCCAGAGAUGUUUCACGAACAAAUAUAAUGACAAGUGUGGAGCUAUGGAUUCAAUUUACCUGACCACCAUCCCCACUUCCAAGCAAGACCCAGCAAGAUCUGGAGCAUAUCGAGACUGGCUGGCCAAAGAUGUUUAUUUUUGUAUAAUGACAAGUACUGAGCUAUGGAUUCACUUCAGCACCAUCCCAAUUACCAUGUAAGAACCACUUCAGUAAGAGAACAUAUCAAGAACGCCUAGCCAGAGAUGUUUCUCCUGGUGUAGUGAAAAGUGCUGAGCUAUGGAUUCACUUCACCUCACCGCCAUCCCCAAUUUCUUGGAGGGGUCAAUUCAUAUUGUGAACUUAUUGAGGAUCAACAUUGAAGACGAACACACAAAAACAGGGCUGAAAAGAAUGACUGGGCAGGAUGGUUGUGCCGAGCUGCACCGUGGAUAACUGUUAGGGGAGAAAAGGGAGCCAAGCAUCUCUGCCCCUCCAUCUGAUGGCACAGUCUGGAAAAGAGAACAGCUAACACACCAUCAUCCUCC